GUAAGUAAGAUAGAGAAAAACUAUCGACAUUCUAAACAUAUUGUAAUAUUAACUUGCUAGAAUAGGAGAGACGAAUGCCCAAUUUUUCAAGAAGAAGAAAACGAAAAGCGCAGUUUAUUUUGGUUUUUAAAGAGAGUAAACGAAAAAGAUUAACAACGAGAAAAAGAAAUCAUUUGGAGCGUUUGGAUGCGUAUAACAAAGACGCACCAUUCAAUUAGCCGCAUCACCGGUGACUUGGAGGACGAGCAUUACGUGGAGCUUGCUAUUAGUUUAAGUAAAUAUUUGAUUAUUUUGAUGUUAUUAUUAAAUAAAGCGAAAUAAUAAAAAAAACUGAA